GACGAACGCUGGCGGCGCGCCUAACACAUGCAAGUCGAACGAGCGAGAGAGAGCUUGCUUUCUCAAGCGAGUGGCGAACGGGUGAGUAACGCGUGAGGAACCUGCCUCAAAGAGGGGGACAACAGUUGGAAACGACUGCUAAUACCGCAUAAGCCCACAGGUCGGCAUCGACCAGAGGGAAAAGGAGCAAUCCGCUUUGAGAUGGCCUCGCGUCCGAUUAGCUAGUUGGUGAGGUAACGGCCCACCAAGGCAACGAUCGGUAGCCGGACUGAGAGGUUGAACGGCCACAUUGGGACUGAGACACGGCCCAGACUCCUACGGGAGGCAGCAGUGGGGAAUAUUGCACAAUGGGGGAAACCCUGAUGCAGCGACGCCGCGCGGAGGAAGAAGGUCUUCGGAUUGUAAACUCCUGUUGUUGAGGAAGAUAAUGACGGUACUCAACAAGGAAGUGACGGCUAACUACGUG
rnacentral:rRNA from 1 species